rnacentral:rRNA from 1 species
GAUGAACGCUGACAGAAUGCUUAACACAUGCAAGUCCACUUGAACUUCGGUUUGGGUGGCGGACGGGUGAGUAACGCGUACAGAACUUGCCUCACAGAUAGGGGCAACAUUUGGAAACGAAUGCUAAUACCUGAUAUUAUGAUUUUAGGGCUUCUAGGAUUAUUAAAGCUAUAUGCGCUGUGAGAGAGCUUUGCGUCCCAUUAGCUAGUUGGAGAGGUAACGGCUCACCAAGGCGAUGAUGGGUAGCCGGCCUGAGAGGGUGAUCGGCCACAAGGGGACUGAGACACGGCCCUUACUCCUACGGGAGGCAGCAGUGGGGAAUAUUGGACAAUGGACCAAGAGUCUGAUCCAGCAAUUCGGUGUGCACGAUGAAGUUUUUCGGAAUGUAAAGUGCUUUCAGUUGGGAAGAAAAAAAUGACGGUACCAACAGAAGAAGGGACGGCUAAAUACGU